UACAGAGGGGGCAAGCGUUGUUCGGAAUUACUGGGCGUAAAGGGCGCGUAGGCGGCCUGUUAAGUCAGACGUGAAAUCCCUCGGCUCAACCGGGGAACUGCGUCUGAUACUGGCGGGCUUGAGUGCGGCAGAGGAGACUGGAAUUCCUGGUGUAGCAGUGAAAUGCGUAGAUAUCAGGAGGAAUACCGAUGGCGAAGGCAGGUCUCUGGGCUGACACUGACGCUCAUGCACGAAAGCGUGGGGAGCAAACAGGAUUAGAAACCCUUGUAGU
rnacentral:rRNA from 1 species